CCCUUAGAUGUUCUGGGCCGCACGCGCGCUACACUGAUGCAUUCAACGAGUCUAAAACCUGGUCUGAGAGGGCUGGGUAAUCUUUUGAAAGUGCAUCGUGAUUGGGAUAGAUGAUUGCAAUUCUUCAUCUUCAACGAGGAAUGCCUAGUAAACGCAAGUCAUCAGCCUGCAUUGAUUACGUCCCUGCCCUUUGUACACACCGCCCGUCGCUCCUACCGAUUGAACGAUCCGAUGAAAACUGUGGAUUGAGAGUCUGAGUGGGUUCGCCUACCUCAACUUUCGAGAAGCGGUUUAAAUCUUAUCGUUUAGAGGAAGGAGAAGUCGUAACA
rnacentral:rRNA from 1 species